rnacentral:rRNA from 1 species
UACGUAGGGAGCAAGCGUUGUCCGGAAUCAUUGGGCGUAAAGCGCGCGUAGGCGGCCUCAUAAGUCCGUUGUGAAAGUCAAAGGCUCAACCUUUGAAAGCCGAUGGAUACUGUGAGGCUAGAGUCCGGAAGAGGCGAGUGGAAUUCCUGGUGUAGCGGUGGAAUGCGCAGAUAUCAGGAGGAACACCCAUAGCGAAGGCAGCUCGCUGGGACGGUACUGACGCUAAGGCGCGAAAGCGUGGGGAGCAAACAGG